UACGGAGGGAGCUAGCGUUGUUCGGAAUUACUGGGCGUAAAGCGCGCGUAGGCGGCUUGGCAAGUUGGGGGUGAAAUCCCGGGGCUUAACCUCGGAACUGCCUCCAAAACUGCUAAGCUAGAAUCCUGGAGAGGUGAGUGGAAUUCCUAGUGUAGAGGUGAAAUUCGUAGAUAUUAGGAAGAACACCAGUGGCGAAGGCGACUCACUGGACAGGUAUUGACGCUGAGGUGCGAAAGCGUGGGGAGCGAACAGGAUUAGAUACCCUGGUAGUCCACGCCGUAAACGAUGGGUGCUAGGUGUUGGGCAGCAUGCUGUUCAGUGCCGAAGCUAACGCGUUAAGCACCCCGCCUGGGGAGUACGGUCGCAAGAUUAAA
rnacentral:rRNA from 1 species